rnacentral:rRNA from 1 species
AUUGAACGCUGGCGGCAUGCCUUACACAUGCAAGUCGAACGGCAGCACGGGUGCUUACACCUGGUGGCGAGUGGCGAACGGGUGAGUAAUACAUCGGAACGUACCUUAUCGUGGGGGAUAACGCAGCGAAAGUUGCGCUAAUACCGCAUACGCCCUGUGGGGGAAAGCGGGGGACCGUAAGGCCUCGCGCGAUUAGAGCGGCCGAUGUCUGAUUAGCUUGUUGGUGAGGUAAAAGCUCACCAAGGCGAGGAUCAGUAGCUGGUCUGAGAGGACGAUCAGCCACACUGGGACUGAGACACGGCCCAGACUCCUACGGGAGGCAGCAGUGGGGAAUUUUGGACAAUGGGGGCAACCCUGAUCCAGCAAUGCCGCGUGAGUGAAGAAGGCCUUCGGAUUGUAAAGCUCUUUUGUCAGGGAAGAAACAGCAGCUCUAACACAGUCUGCGAAUGACGGUACCUGAAGAAUAAGCACCGGCUAACUACGUGCCAGCCGCCGCCGUAA